rnacentral:rRNA from 1 species
GAUGAACGCUGGCGGCGUGCUUAACACAUGCAAGUCGAACGGGAAAUUCUUCAUUGAGACUUCGGUGGAUUUGAUUUAUUUCUAGUGGCGGACGGGUGAGUAACGCGUGGGUAACCUGCCUUAUACAGGGGGAUAACAGUCAGAAAUGGCUGCUAAUACCGCAUAAGCGCACAGAGCUGCAUGGCUCAGUGUGUAAAACUCCGGUGGUAUAAGAUGGACCCGCGUUGGAUUAGCUAGUUGGUGGGGUAACGGCCCACCAAGGCGACGAUCCAUAGCCGGCCUGAGAGGGUGAACGGCCACAUUGGGACUGAGACACGGCCCAGACUCCUACGGGAGGCAGCAGUGGGGAAUAUUGCACAAUGGGGGAAAGCCUGAUGCAGCGACGCCGCGUGAAGGAAGAAGUAUCUCGGUAUGUAAACUUCUAUCAGCAGGGAAGAUAAUGACGGUACCUGACUAAGAAGCCCCGGCUAACUACGUG